AUUUCACCACGCAGACUGGAAGUUACCAUUUCUCCCUUUCUUCACACAGCAGAUAUGCGACUUUCUGCAAAUUUCAUAGGCUGUGGCUGAAAUGGUUUCCCCAAGGACAUAUUUCUGUUGACUAUAUUGUCAUGCGGUGCAAGCCAAAAGAAGCACACAAGGAAACUGACCUGCUUAGUUGGACAUGCCAACCUGUGAACCAUAUUUGAUAUUUGAUGGUAUACCCAAGUGUUGUGACCACCAUUAUUUCAAGCGUCUCACAUCAAUAGGAACCAGAAGUAAGAAUUCAUGCUGAGUCUCCAAAAUAAGCAGUCUCUCCUUGAAGGCAGAUUAUCACUCAAAAAUGCUGAGACAUGGUUGACUAUGUAAACCGACCUUUACUUUAUAAAAUCAUCCCCAUGGCUUGUGUGAGCUACUUUCCAUUAAGUGCUCCAACUUUUCACAAUGCAAAGGCUGCAGAACUCAGUAUCCUGUAAAAGACUUGCACCAGAUUCUGACCCAUACAACUCCUGUAUCACAAUGCUGCUGUUAGUGAAAGAAAAUCUGCACAAGAUUACAAUAGGAAUGGAAAAAAAUCUGUCCAGGCUAGCCCAUUUGCAGCAGUGGCCCUGAGAUAUAAACUCUAGAGGAGUACAACUGAACACCAAACCUUAAGACACCACUAAAAACAUGAGGUAAAUCAAGAGUAUCAACAGAUGUAACAGCAUUAAAACCCUGCCUCACAGCUCUGUGGUUGUGGCUCCAUCCUGUGUGUUUGCAUGUUCUUUCUAAGUUAACAUGACCCCCCCAGGUACUCAUUUCAUUCCACAUUUGAAACACAUUCUGGUUUACUAUCUACACAGACGUACAGCUUAGUACAUCAAACUUACACCAUCAGAAAGGAAGUGCUGCAUCAAAUUCAGCAAAUUCAGCGAAGAUUUGUUUUUAAAUAUGGGCAAGUGCCUUUGCAGUUCCCACACCCUUCUGCACAUAUAUUACCUACACGAUUUCUACUUGCCUCUCAACUAUUUAAACUUAACAAGAAUGAGACUGUUCCUCCCACUAGCCUCCAGACUAUAUUCAGUGAUGCACCACCAUAGAGCUUUAAACAUGUUAACCCACAGGUCCUCUUCUCCAAUCCCCACCAAAUUAGGUUUCAGUGCACAGACCAUUAUUCGUCAGUCCUUGGUCCCAAUUUGUUGGAAUCUCUCCCUCCUUUUCUUAAACAUCAUUCUUCUUACCCCAUUCUCUGAUUAGAAAUAAAAGCACAUUACAAGACUCUAAGAAAUGACAACUGCUCUCUCUGCAUUCCCAUAUAACAUAACCCUUCCUGCUCUUCUACCAGCUACAUAGCUUGCUGUGAUACCACUCUUCAUAGUGAUUUUUUCAUCAUGCCAGCUCUGAUAGCAUCUCUGUAUAUAAUGCAUGUACAUAAUGUUUUUUCAGUUAAUCUGUAUAUAACGCAUUGUAUCUAUUAUCCGCAUCCCCUCUAGUCAACUCUUAUAUUCACUUUGUAUAUAAGACAUGUAAGUAUUGCAUUUUGUCUUUCUCUUUAUGUAUAAUGUUAUGUAUUGAUUGCAUUUAUCCCCAGGUUUGAGACUGAAAUAGGCUAAUGGGAUCAUUGCUUUACCCCAGUUAACAAAUUCAAAAUAAAUAAAUAAGAUUGCACAGCUGUUGUCCAAGUCCCUUUUUCCACUGUCACCUGAUCUUGUAAAAACAUAUGAUAUGCUAUCCCUUUACAGUCAAACGUAAUAAUACAAAAAUGCUGAUAACCUGUUACUUGCACUAUUGCAUAAGUCAAUAUUAUAUGUUAGCGUUUUUUU